rnacentral:rRNA from 1 species
GACGAACCGUCCAAACGUUAUUCGGAAUCACUGGGCUUACAGAGUUCGUAGGCGGUCUGGGAAGUUGGGUGUGAAAUCCCUCGGCUUAACCGAGGAACUGCGCUUGAAACUGCCAGACUCGAGGGAGAUAGAGGAAAGCGGAACUGAUGGUGGAGCGGUGAAAUGCGCAGAUAUCAGGAGGAACACCGGUGGCGAAGGCGGGUCUCUGGGCCGAAACUGACGCUGAGGAGCGAAAGCGUGGGGAGCAAACAGG